rnacentral:lncRNA from 1 species
AGCAAACUCAGUAUGCAGCUAAAAGCUCCCAAGCUGAUUUGCAACGAAGUCAUUCACCCACCCAGGUUCCCGAAGGACAUGUUGUGAAAAGGGGACUGCAGUGGAUGAGGCUUGAAAGGUAACGUUACAGAAUAUUCUAUAAUCAUUAGACAUUGUUUUAAAAACAUUUCUAUAAUGUUACAGAUUUUAUACGUUCGUGUGGAUAUGUAUGACAUUCAAAACCGAAAAAUAAUUUGUCUAAAAUAACUGAAAUGUCUAAUUGUGGAUAUAGUGUUACUGCAUAAAAACUCCGGUGAGGCACGAAGUAAUGUCUCAGUACCUCAUUCUAGUGUUUAUCGCUAGCCCCCCUUUUAUUCCAAUAUAAAUAUAAACCGCACUUGUUUAGCAUUAUUUUAUUCAUUACUGCUUAUAUUGUUUUUUUAUUAACUUUCUCAUCCGUGGUUGUUUAAUUAUCAUUAUUUUUGUUGUUUAAUGCUUAUUUGGGGGUUUUGGGUUAACGUUCUGAGCCGUGGAGUCCCUAUCAUGCACAGCAGAUGGAGAUAUUUCACGAACGAUAUCAUGUCCUUGACCGGAAGUUACUGUUGUAAGCAGCAGCUGCUGUGUUUUCAUAUUGUCUCAUAGUAGCUAACAGUAGAAUCUAUGUUAUAUUUCUCGAUUCUGACUUCAGGUUGUAUUCAUUUCCCAACGAUUGUUUAAAAUCGCACUGGUCUAGCAACUUCUUAUUUGGUUUGCUGUGCUGUUCUUUCAUCCUUUUAGAGGUGCCUACUAGCUAGCAAUUUAACGUCAACAAACAAUUGUCUUGCGGGAAGUAAAACAUGUUAAGAUAAAAUCAAAUUUUAUUUGUCACGUGCAGAAUACAACUGUUACGGACUAAAAGGGGAACCCAGACGCGAGCCUGCCAGACGAGCUAAAUGGAGCACCAGCUGUUCUGGAUGACUGUGUGAUAAUGCUCUCUGUAGCUGAUGUGAGCAUGACCUUUUAAACAGGUCAACAUUCACAAAGCCAUGGUGCCAGAUGGAUUACAAGGAUGUGUACUCAAAGCAUGCGCGGACCAACUGGCAAGUGUCUUCACUGACAUUUUCAACCUCUCCCUGGCUGACUCUGUAAUACCAACAUGUUUCAAGCAGACCACCAUAGUCCCUGUGCCCAAGGAAGCGAAGGUAACCUGCCUAAAUGAUUACCGUCAGUAGCCAUGAAGUGCUUUGAAAGGCUGGUCAUGGCUCACAUCAAUAGCAUCCUCCCGGAUACCCUAGACCCACUCCAAUUCGCAUACCGCCCCAACAGAGCCACAGAUGACACAAUCUCAAUCACACUCCACGCUGCCUUUUCCCACCUGGACAAAAAUAACACCUAUGUGAGAAUGCUGUAGACUGUCUCAUUGUUGUCAGUGAUCAGGCCUACCACUGUUGUGUCAUCAGCAAACAUAAUGAUGGUGUUGGAUUUGUGCUUGGCCACGCAGUCGUGGGUGAACAGGGAGUACAGGAGGGGACUAAGCAUGCACCCCUGGGGGGCCCCUAUGUUGAGGAUCAGCGUGGCAGAUGUUGUUGCCUACCCUUACCACCUGGGGGCGGCCCAUCAGGAAGUCCAGGAUCCAGUUGCAGAGUGUUGUGUUUAGUCCCAGGGUCCAUAGUUUAGUGAUGAGCUUUGUGGCCUCUGGUGUUGAAUGCUGAGCUGUAGUCAAUGAACAGCAUUCUCACGUAGGUGUUCCUUUUGUCCGGAUGGGAAAGGGCAGUGUGGAGUGCGAUUGAAAUUGCAUCAUCUGUGAAUCUGUUGGGGCGGUAUGCAAAUUGAAGUGGGUCUAGGGUUUCUGGGAUGAUGGUGUUGAUUUGAACCAUUACCAUCCUUUCAAAGCACUUCAUGGCUCCUGGGCGGCAGUCAUUUAGGCAGUUUACCUUCAUUUUCUUGGGCACAGGGACUAUGGUGGUCUGCUUGAAAAAUGUAGGUAUUUCAGACUCGGUCAGGGAGAGGUCUAAAAUGUCAGUGAAGACACUUGCCAGUUAGUCAAUGCAUGAUCUGAGUACAUGUCCUGGGAAUCCGUCUGGCCCCUCAGCCCUGUGCAUGUUGACCUGUUUGAAGGUUUUGCUCACAUCGGCUACGGAUAGCGUGAUCACACAGUCGUCCGGAACAGCUGGUGCUCUCAUGCAUGCUUCAGUGUUGCUUGCCUCAAUGUGAGCAUAAAGGCAUUUAGCUUGUCUGAUAGGCUCACGUCACUGGGCAGCUCGCGGCUGGGUUUCCCUUUGUAGUCCAUAAUAGUUUGCAAGCCCUGCCACAUCUGACGAGCAUAAGAGCCGGUGUAUUAGGAUUUAAUCUUAGUCCUGUAUUGAUGUUUUCUUCUGUUUGAUGGUUCAUCUGAGGGCAUAGCGGGAUUUCUUAUAAGCGUCCGGAUUAGUGUCCCGCUCCUUGAAAGCGGCAGCUCUAGCCUUUAGCUCGGUGGGGAUGUUGCUUGUAAUCCAUGGCUUCUGGUUGGGAUAUGUGCAUACGGUCACUGUGGGGACAACGUCGUCGAUGCACUUAUUGACGAAGCCGGUGACAGAGGUGGUGUACUCCUCAAUGCCAUUGGAUGAAUCCCGGAAUAUAUUCCAGUCUGUGCUAGCAAAACAGUCCUGUAGCGUAGCAUCUGCAUCAUCUGACCACUGGUACCUCCUGCUUUAGGUACCUCCUGCUUUAGGGAGAGCUCUGUGUGUGGAGUAAAGGUGGUCUGGAGUUUUUUCCCCCUUCUGGUUGCACAUGUGACAUGCUGGUAGAAAUUAGGUGAAACGGAUUUAAGUUUGCCUGCAUUAAAGUCCCUGGCCACUAGGAGCGCCACUUCUGGAUGAGCAUUUUCUUGUUUGAUUAUGGCCUUAUACAGCUCGUUGAGUGCGGUCUUAGUACCAGCAAGUUGCAGAGAACGACUGCAUUGUUUGUUUAUCUAGCUAUCUAACAACUUGCAAGGCAAGUAUCACCCGGUCACGUUCAUAUUACCCACCUUGAUGCUGCAGACUCUCCCACUGUGUUUCCAGCAACAGCUUCUCCAGAACCUUCCAGCAAGUGGAGGGAAGGAGGGAGUAUGAGACCCCAGCUCCUCGCAGGUUCAACCCAAAGCCCACACUCUGGAACACCACUAAACUCCGGAACACCCAGAACACUACACAGCUGCACAGCUCCAGGACACAGAAUACACCUCACACAGUGCAAGGAAACUUCUGGAGGCCAUCCCUAACAACAGCAGCAGCUUGGCAGCCAGAGGUGUGCAGCAGCAGUUUUCUUAGGGUUGCCAUAGCAACACCACCGAUGGCAACCUGCAAACAGUGCAAUCCAGCCUCACGCUGCCUUUCCUGCUGCAGAGAGCACAGAGACAGUCAAAGAGACGGCUUCCGCCAAGACCAGCAAAACCACAAGCAGCAGCAGAAAUCACCCCCUCCUCUUCCUCCCUGCGUCUCCAUGUCUCAGGAAGGGGUGGCCAUGGUCCCCCCUCCAGCCAGGCCAACCUCCACCCUGCUCCAGCCGUGCCACUCCAUUUCUGAGGAUGCUCAGAGGGUCCUCCGGAAGGUCUAAUGACAUGAGAAUGUUUAACCCUCUCCUGCAACAGGGACACCACAGAUGAAGUCAGGAUUAAGAAAACAGUGGAUGCAUGGAUCAACGCCCUGAGUAAGGAUAUCCAGGCCGAUAUUUCAAAAUUAGACUUUGUUGCUCAGACGAGAGCUAAAGACUUGGUGAAAGAGUCUGCUGCUGCUGCCGUGUUACCCCAGAAAAACAAACUAAUAACACCACCACCUCCAGGCUUAAAGAUGUGAAGACCAUGAUUCAGACUGGUGGGCCUGGAACAGCAGGACGUAAACCCCUGUCAGAGCAGCCAGAGGACAGACAGAGCACUGAGGAGCCGAACAAACACACCACUGGCCCCAAUGUGAGACUGACCAUCUCUAUCUCAACAGGUGGCCAGCCCAGAGUGGAUGGAUUGCCCCCCCCAGCCCUCCUCUGUCCUCAUGAGUGACCGGCCAGUGAUACUGACCACCUCCAUGUCCCCCACCCAGACCGGCCCCGGCCCCCCAAACCCACCGUGGCCAUCCUAAAGGUGGUCUGAGCAGAACAGAAGACAACCACAGCUCCAAGUACAAGUUCAGCCCAACACCAACACCAACCCCCAGCCUGAGCCCAGCUCCACCACCACCUCCACCUGCUGCUGAUCCACCUCCAGACAUACAGUUAUGCACCACGGCCCUGUGCUACCUUGCAGAACCCCUACAACCCCCACACCCUGUCCUCAGCUCCAUCCAACACAGAGAGAC